rnacentral:lncRNA from 1 species
CCUCUAAUCCGUCACCCUCGGGACUAGGAGUAUGGUCGGAACGCAAAAAAGGUCGGAUUAUCAGAAAAAGUCAUUAAAUACGUCUGUACAAGAAAAAAAGCCUGUAUUAUUCUCUUCAGUGAUAUAAUAACCAUACAUAUGUACAUAAUUAUAUUGCAUUAAAAUGCCAGAAUUCUUUGUUA